rnacentral:rRNA from 1 species
CGAGCGCGAAAGUCCUUCGGGGGCGAGUAUAGCGGCGGACGGGUGAGUAAUAAUAGGUAAUCUACCUUCGAGCUUGGGAUAACCCCGCGAAAGUGGGGCUAAUACCGGAUAAGACCACGUAACCAUGUUGCGGGGUAAAAGGUGGCUUAUUUUUUAAAUGAGCUAUCACUUGAGGAUGAGCCUGUGGCCUAUCAGCUUGUUGGCGGGGUAAAAGCCCACCAAGGCUAUGACGGGUAGCUGGUCUGAGAGGACGACCAGCCACACUGGGACUGAGACACGGCCCAGACUCCUACGGGAGGCAGCAGUGGGGAAUAUUGGGCAAUGGGCGAAAGCCUGACCCAGCGACGCCGCGUGGGCGAUGAAGGCCUUCGGGUUGUAAAGCCCUGUCAUGCGGAAAGAACGACCCUGUGAAGCAUACUCACAGGGAGUGACGGUACCGAAGGAGGAAGCACCGGCUAACUCCGUGACAGCAGCCGCGGUAAUACGGAGGGUGCA